GUCUAGAAAUGUGGCACAGUAGGGUUUAGCUUCUUGGGAUGUGCUUAGUAUGAACAAAAUUCAAUUAUCCAGAAUGAAGAAAACUUUUAUGCUAUCUUUGGAUUCGUGUAUUUGAAUUGGAAAAUUGGAUUUCAAAUAUACCUUGUUUGGAUAACAAAAGGAAUUGCAAAUUUUGAAUUUAAAAUGGCCAUAUCUAACAAAAAAAAUUGUUUCUUCGGUUAACUUUGAAUUUCAAAUAACGUGGAUAACAUUGUUAUUUCAACUCCUUACUUUUUG
rnacentral:misc_RNA from 1 species